GCACCUACCGAUUGAAUGAUUCGGUGAAGAUUCGGGACCGUGCCAGCUCUGUUCACGCGGGGCUGGCGUGGGAACUUAUCUAAACCUCAUCAUUUAGAGGAAGGUGAAGUCGUAACAAGGUUUCC
rnacentral:rRNA from 1 species